rnacentral:rRNA from 1 species
GGAACCCGCAUUGGUUCAAGGAUGGAAAGACGGUUUCGGCUGUCACUUACAGAUGGACCCGCGGCGCAUUAGCUAGUUGGUGAGGUAACGGCUCACCAAGGCGACGAUGCGUAGCCGACCUGAGAGGGUGAUCGGCCACACUGGGACUGAGACACGGCCCAGACUCCUACGGGAGGCAGCAGUAGGGAAUCUUCCGCAAUGGACGAAAGUCUGACGGAGCAACGCCGCGUGAGUGAUGAAGGUUUUCGGAUCGUAAAGCUCUGUUGUUAGGGAAGAACAAGUGCAAGAGUAACUGCUUGCACCUUGACGGUACCUAACCAGAAAGCCACGGCUAACUACGUGCCAGCAGCCGCGGUAAUACGUAGGUGGCAAGCGUUGUCCGGAAUUAUUGGGCGUAAAGGGCUCGCAGGCGGUUUCUUAAGUCUGAUGUGAAAGCCCCCGGCUCAACCGGGGAGGGUCAUUGGAAACUGGGAAACUUGAGUGCAGAAGAGGAGAGUGGAAUUCCACGUGUAGCGGUGAAAUGCGUAGAGAUGUGGAGGAACACCAGUGGCGAAGGCGACUCUCUGGUCUGUAACUGACGCUGAGGAGCGAAAGCGUGGGGAGCGAACAGGAUUAGAUACCCUGGGUAGUCC